rnacentral:rRNA from 1 species
CAAUAGCGUAUAUUAAAGUUGUUGCAGUUAAAAAGCUCGUAGUUGGAUUUCUGUCAAGGACAACUGGUCCGCCCUCCGGGUGAGCACAUAGUUUGGUCUUGGCAUCUUGCUGGAAACUGUUGCUGCGCUUGGUUGUGUGGUGCAGCUUUCAGCACUUUCACUUUGAGGAAAUUGGAGUGUUUCAAGCAGGCACAUGCCUUUGGACACAGUAGCAUGGAAUAAUUAGAUUGGGCUUUUGCUCCAACUUGUUGGUUCCUGGAGCUGAGGUGAGAAUCAAUGGGGAUUGUUGGGGGCAUCCGAAUUUAGCCGUCAGAGGUGAAAUUCUUGGAUCUGCUAAAGACGGACAACUGCGAAAGCGUUUGCCCAGGAUGUUUUCAUUG